UACGAAGGGGGGCUAGCGUUGCUCGGAAUCACUGGGCGUAAAGGGUGCGUAGGCGGGUCUUUAAGUCAGGGGUGAAAUCCUGGAGCUCAACUCCAGAACUGCCUUUGAUACUGAGGAUCUUGAGUUCGGGAGAGGUGAGUGGAACUGCGAGUGUAGAGGUGAAAUUCGUAGAUAUUCGCAAGAACACCGAGUGGCGAAGGCGGCUCACUGGCCCGAUACUGACGCUGAGGCACGAAAGCGUGGGGAGCAAACAGGAUU
rnacentral:rRNA from 1 species